CAGCGGGGCGGGGGUCUCACCAUCCCGGAGCAGAGGCUGAUAACGGCGGUGAGCCGAGGGCGGGCGUUGACGUGCCCCCGGUAGAAGCAGUGCUUCACAUCGGCGUCGGCCGCCUCGGCGUAGAGGCGCCGUUGGUCUGCGGCGGGCUCUCCCAGGAGGCUGACGGUGAAGAGCGGGGCGAUGAAGGCCGAGCUGGCCGUCAGGUUGAAGAGGAACUGCUGCCCGAAGGCGGACAGCCUGUAGUGUGCCUUCGGGGAGUCGGCGGCGGCCGCCGUCCAGGCGUCGGGGGCAGCACUGGUGCUCCGCCGGCGCCGCCUGAAGUGGACAUCGGUGGGGAAGGGCUCACCGAACUCAUUCACUCGGCUUGAAGAAGUGGACCAGCAAUUGAAGAAUCCCUUGUGUGGCACUUACAGCAGUGCCUUUGACAAAACAUUAACAGUAAUACUAGGAGGACUCAAUACAGCAGAUGUUCUGUAAUCCCACACCAAAAGGCAACCUGGGAAUGUUGGAAAUUAUGCAGAUAUCCCCAAGUCACACUCCUGCAACCCACUGCACAGUAUAAGGAAGAAAAGGAGUUUCUGCAUUGCUUAAACACACAAGAGCUACUGACCUGACCCUCUUAGAGCCAUUUCACACUCUCUCCAGGGCAGACCAAUGGCUAUGUGUCAUCUGUCCUGGUCACUGAGGAAUUUGGUUGUGUGCCUAGAACAGCUUUUGUGUUAUUGGCAGCUCUUCUUUUUGCACCCAUUGAAAUCUAUAAAAAUAAGACAAUGUCAGAUUUUACUCAAUUGCCAUUGCAGUGGGCACUGCAGAAUGCAGGGUACAUUCCUGCUUCAGUUUUCUUUCUGUGCAUUUGGCAGCAAUUCUGGACACCCAGAAAUGCAGACCAUCACUAUUUCCUUUCAUUUCCAUUUUCCUUUUAGAAAUAUUUAAUAAACAGCCUUCCCACAUUGAAAAAAAAUUAAAUAAUUAAUAUAUUUUAAAAAA